rnacentral:rRNA from 1 species
AACGAACGCUGGCGGCAUGCCUAACACAUGCAAGUCGAACGAGACCUUCGAGUCUAGUGGCGCACGGGUGCGUAACGCGUGAGAACCUGCCCUUAGGUUCGGAAUAACUCCCCGAAAGGGGUGCUAAUACCGGAUAAUGUCUUCGGACCAAAGAUUUAUCGCCUUUGGAUGGGCCCGCGUUGGAUUAGCUAGUUGGUAGGGUAAAAGCCUACCAAGGCGACGAUCCAUAGCUGGUCUGAGAGGAUGAUCAGCCACACUGGGACUGAGACACGGCCCAGACUCCUACGGGAGGCAGCAGUGGGGAAUAUUGGACAAUGGGCGAAAGCCUGAUCCAGCAAUGCCGCGUGAGUGAUGAAGGCCUUAGGGUUGUAAAGCUCUUUUACCCGGGAUGAUAAUGACAGUACCGGGAGAAUAAGCUCCGGCUAACUCCGUG